rnacentral:rRNA from 1 species
UACGUAGGGUGCAAGCGUUAAUCGGAAUUCCUGGGCGUAAAGCGUGCGCAGGCGGUUGUGCAAGACAGGUGUGAAAUCCCCGGGCUUAACCUGGGAACUGCACUUGUGACUGCACAGCUGGAGUACGGCAGAGGGGGAUGGAAUUCCGCGUGUAGCAGUGAAAUGCGUAGAUAUGCGGAGGAACACCGAUGGCGAAGGCAAUCCCCUGGGCCUGCACUGACGCUCAUGCACGAAAGCGUGGGGAGCGAACAGG